rnacentral:lncRNA from 1 species
AGAGGCGGAAUUUGUGGGCGGGAGCGGGGAGUGCCGAUGGGCGGCCCGAUGGCGGGGGCCCUCGCUGAGCUGCUGUUGGGGGGGCUUGAGUCUGAUAGCCUUGGUCAUCUCAUUGAGCGGGCGGUCUUGUGCGUGAGGUGUGUUGAUGAUGUUUUCGCUGUCUGGAGGGAUGGGGGUGGUGUGCAGCGGUUGGCCGGCGAUUUCGCAUUGCCGGAGUGUGGGCUGGAGCUCAGGCUUGAUCGGGUGGAUGCAGUGUGUGCGCAUUUUUUGGAUGUAAGCAUUACGAUUGAGGCUGGGACCUUUUGCACUGGAGUUUGUGGAGGGCCUU